rnacentral:lncRNA from 1 species
CCGGUAUAGGAUGUUUAGAGGAAGUUGCAGUAAGAUAAGUGUGUCCUUUACAUACUGUAUCUUUCAGACCUUAGCAGUCUGCUGACUCCAGCUUUCAGCAGAGCAGAAACAAUGCUUUGGGAAGACUUAAAACAACUUUGAAUAAGAACCUGCUUGAGAAAGAUUUGCCUUACAAGCUAAAUGUUACAUUUCCACUCAACAGAAAGGUACUGCUGUGUGGCCGUAAAAAGCCGGCCAAAACCCUGUAACCUUUGCAGUUAGUCAUGUUAUUUUUGGUUCAUGCCAACAUGGAUCACAGCUGUGACUCAACAGAGCCACUGAAGCAAGAAUUCAAAGAGUUUAAAGAACAGCAAACUCAGAAAUGACUUUUUUUUUUCUUAUGGUGUCAUUACGCAACAUUUCUUGCAGUUUACCUUUUCUAAUUUACCAACUCCGUACAGAUGAGCUCAGUCGGUGUUUGGCAAAUGAAAACCUGAGCUGCGUCAGCACACUUCCCCAAAUCCCACUGCAGGCGGAGGGUGAUGGAGCUUUCCCUUCUGGGAUGUUUGUUUUACUGAGAAGAUGGCGGUCUGUGAACCAGGAAGCAGGUCCUUGCCAGACACCGAGGCCUCCGCUUGUGCCCUGAUCUUGGACCUCCCACCCUCCAGAACUGUGAGUUUCUGUUGUUUAUAAACCACCCAAGUCUAGGAUAUUUUGUUUUUUGUUUGUUUGUUUGUUUUGAGAUGGAGUUUCCCUCUUGUUGCCCAGGCUGGAGUGUAAUGGCACAAUCUCCGCUCACUGCAACCUCCGCCCCUUGGGUUCAAGCAAUUCUCCUGCCUCAGCCUCCCCAGUAGCUGGGAUUACAGGCCCCUGCCACCACGCCUAGCUAUUUUUUUUUUUUUUGUACUUUGAGUAGAGACAGGGUUUCACCAUGUUGGCCAGGCUGGUCUCAAACUCCUGACCUCAGGCGGUCCACCCGCCUCAGCCUCCCAAAGUACUGGGAUUACAGGUGUGAGCCACAACACUCGGCUUUGGGAUAUUUUGUUAUAGCAGCCUGAACAGACUAAAGACGGGGUAUACACAGGGCAGGGAAUUGAAGGAAAGUGUUUUGUCAUUGUUUUUGUUUUUGUUUUUGUUUUGAGAUGAGGUCUCGCUCUGUUGCUCAGACUGGAGUACAAUGGCACCAUCAUGGCUCACUGCAGCCUCAACCUCCAGGACUCAUGUGAUUCUCCCACCUUAGCCUCCUGAGUAGCUGGGAACACAGGUGUGUGCCACCACACCUGGCUAAGUUUUUGGUUUUAUUUAUUUUUUGUAGAGACGGGGUCUCCCUGUGUUGCCCAGCCUGACUUUGAACUCCUGGGCUUAAGCUGUCCUCCCACCUCAGCCUCCUAAAGUGUUGGGAUUACAGGCCUGAGCCACCAUGCUUGGCCUGAAGAGACGAUCUUGAAAGUGGAGCAUACUAAAGUAUCUGCGCACACUAAUGAAAGUCAUUCAUCAGUGAAAGAGAGAUUGAUGAUGGUGGUGGUAGGUAAGAGAAAGAAUCUCACAGACAUACACUGUCAGCUAAUCAAAGAAGGAAAGCCGUGGGCAGUCACAAGAACAUGUGGCCAGAAUGCAUGCGGAGCAUUUUAUACUGUUUCAUGCUGCUCCUGGGAUAAGAGAGACACUUCCGUUGUGGUAACAAGAGGGAAAGGCGGAGAAGAUGGGUUUACAGAUUUGGUUUGGGAGGAUGAAGACAUUUCAUUCUAAUUGGUGGUUUUUUUCUCCUCCUUUAGGAAGCAUGAAGUGGGGUCAGAGUGAAGGGCAAGAGGAGAGCUGGGGUUGGGCAGACUGAGGCUGUCUGGAGAGAUGAUAUGGCCUUAGUGUGGAGACGAAGAGAAAGCUUGCUAGGCAGUGUCCUUGGAAAUGGGUGAGGAUGAUCUUGACACGAGUCCCCGUGCUGGGUAUUUUUCCUCAGCAGCAUUUAGCUGUGCAGUGUGUGGGGUUCAUCUAGUUUUGGAAGACUGUUGGAAGAGUUAUUGGUUGAUUCAGAUGAUUAAUAACUGAGUUGGGCAUGCUUUCCAAAAUACUUACGAUUUCUAUCAAAAUAUUCAAAGUGAAUAUGAUGUCACAAGGGGAACCCCUGAAAUCCAUGGCACUUCCACAGCACUGACACGGCCUUCCCAGCUUCUGUAUUUCUUUUGUUGGCAGCAAAGGCAGAGAUGGAGACAAAGAACUGGAAUUUAGACAUUGGAGAUUUCGUUUCUGGCUGCUACAUUCCAGUGCAGUGUUACAUAGUUCAGAAGGCUGGUAAGUAAAGUACAGUGAGUCCCAUGACCAGUUUAGAAGUGUGCCUCUCUGGAACUCACCGUCAUCUCAGAGCACAGAACUGCAGGAAGCUCACGGAGUCACUUUCAGGUCACUUCUCGGAGUUAAAGUGGAACCAUCUGUCCACCCCUUGCCCACACACCUUCCUUCCUUGACCCUGUACCCCUCCGGUUUUCUUAUCUCUUUCUUUCCUUCACAGCAGGCCUUCUACUUCUUCGGCCUCUCUUUCUUCCCUUUCCGUGAACUCUUCGGCGCCUUAAAUGCCAGCAUCUACCUCUCUGCAGCUGCACUCCCCAGGCUCUCAAAUGACCUUCUGGUGGCUAUAGCCGGUGGAAACUCUCCAACUGCCAUCUUACUUGAUUUGUCCUGUAUUAUUUCCACUGUGCUGUCUCCUGCUUAGUGAAUUCUAUGGGCUUAUUCUCUCCUUAGUUUCCC